rnacentral:rRNA from 1 species
CCUACGGGAGGCUGCAGUAGGGAAUCUUCCACAAUGGGCGAAAGCCUGAUGGAGCAACGCCGCGUGGGUGAAGAAGGUCUUCGGAUCGUAAAACCCUGUUGUUAGAGAAGAAAGUGCGUGAGAGUAACUGUUCACGUUUCGACGGUAUCUAACCAGAAAGCCACGGCUAACUACGUGCCAGCAGCCGCGGGAAUACGUAGGUGGCAAGCGUUAUCCGGAUUGAUUGGGCGUAAAGGGAACGCAGGCGGUCUUUUAAGUCGGAUGUGAAAGCCUUCGGCUUAACCGGAGUAGUGCAUUGGAAACUGGGAGACUUGAGUGCAGAAGAGGAGAGUGGAACUCCAUGGGUAGCGGUGAAAUGCGUAGAUAUAUGGAAGAACACCAGUGGCGAAAGCGGCUCUCUGGUCUGUAACUGACGCUGAGGUUCGAAAGCGUGGGUAGCAAACAGGAUGAGAUACCCGUGUAGUC